ACUUUACAAAAUGGCGAAGAAGCAUGUCAUACAUCAGCUCAAGGAGCAAACUUUUCUAGAUACUCGAUUUGAUGGUCACCUAAAUAUCUAUUUUGAGGCCUUCUAUGUGCCUAGCUGCUUCUAAGCCGAAAUUUCAAGGAAUGACGACCAAACCAGAAUAGUGCACUACUGCAUCGAAUUAAGCAUCGGAGUAUAAAAAUUUCAAGCUCGGUUUUCCAAGUGGUUUCCCGGAAAUCGACACUUUCAAAAAUGUCGACGGGCAAGAGCCCCUGGAUGCAAAGGACGUUGUACGAUAACUCCUACUCCAGCUGCAACACCAUGUCGGUUUCUAUUCUGUGGCAAAUGGAAGUAAUUCGAAGUAAGUUGUUCCGGGAACUGUCCCUGUGUGGAGCCAA